rnacentral:rRNA from 1 species
UACGGAGGAUGCAAGCGUUAUCCGGAAUGAUUGGGCGUAAAGCGUCCGCAGGUGGCUGUGUAAGUCUGCUGUCAAAGAGCAAAGCUCAACUUUGUAAAGGCAGUGGAAACUACACAGCUAGAGUGCGUUCGGGGCAGAGGGAAUUCCUGGUGUAGCGGUGAAAUGCGUAGAGAUCAGGAAGAACACCGGUGGCGAAGGCGCUCUGCUAGGCCGCAACUGACACUGAGGGACGAAAGCUAGGGGAGCGAAUGGG